AACAUGACGCCUUGCUCGCUCAGUGCGCUAGUGUGGGGAGCAUGUUUUCUUUAGCGUCAAGCUUUGUUCCAGGGAAUGGCGGACAUCGGGACAUGGCCGGACCUCCAUGUCGCGUUCGUGGGCGUACGACGUGACACCGCAAGAGAGUGUUUUUCUAUGUGGUUGGUGCGUCUGUUUGGGGCGGCGGUUUAUUAGGACGGGUUGGCCGUCAAUGCCGGAUGGUCGUCGGAUGUUCACAUCUCUCAUCUCUGACGUUAACCCCGUCUGUGUUUUAAACGUUUUUUAUUUGGGUACAAAAAUCGUGACCUGAUGAAGGAUGAUGAAGCAGUUCCAUGACCCAGCUGGUCAUGUUUAAGGCCUGAGACCAAGUAACCUUUUGGUCUGACGAAAGUUUGCAGAAUCUAGGCGGCUAUGCAGUCCCAUCUUCUAACAGUGUUCAACCGAAGCAUUAGGAAAGUCGCAAGAAGAAUCGUUGAUCAAUUUCUAGAUUCAUCAGUUUCUGACGCGAAUUGAAUCAACUUCUAGAUUAGACAAAUACACACAUCGGAAUCAUGUUUGCGUUUGUUUGACGAUUCCGAGGCGCACGUGUGUUUAAUUUCCUCGCAACAAAUCUUCGUCCUGAAUCUACUCCAGCUCAGUGCGACUGACUGACGCUUGGUUUCCGGUGCGUGCAGCGGCGGCGCAAGUGGCGGCGGAAGCGCGCGGAGCAGCGCGUGUACGUGGAGCUGAGCGAGGCGAUGGACUGCCUCGACCACAUCUGCACGGAGGGGUGCACGGAGGUCGGGCCGGCGGGGCGGGCGCCGGCGCCGUCGCCGUGCGCGCGCUACGCCACCUGCCGGGGCCUGCAGCUCCUCAUCCGCCACUUCUCCCAGUGCCACCGCAAGAGCUGCGCCCGGUGCCAGCGCAUGUGGCAGCUGCUCCGCCUCCACUCCGCGCUCUGCGACCGCCCCGACCGCUGCAACACCCCGCUCUGCACGUAAGCGCCAGAGCUCACUCCUCACCAGUUUGCUUCGUUACAGCCUAAGCUUACACCUGACAUGACAUUGUUGUGUGUGUUGUGCCAUGCAGGAGGUUCAAGCAGAAGGAGCAGGAGAAGGCGGCCGUGAAGGCCGGCGAUGAUGGCGACAAAUGGGGGCUCCUGGUGAAGAAGGUGAAGGCUGCCAGGGUCUUCUCUUCCCUGGCCAACAGGAAGCAGAUGAGCUCCACCU
rnacentral:lncRNA from 1 species